rnacentral:rRNA from 1 species
GAUGAACGCUGGCGGCGUGCUUAACACACGCAAGUCGAACGAAGCACCUUGAUUUGAUUCUUCGGAUGAAGAUCUUGGUGACUGAGUGGCGGACGGGUGAGUAACGCGUGGGUAACCUGCCUCAUACAGGGGGAUAACAGUUAGAAAUGACUGCUAAUACCGCAUAAGACCACAGCACCGCAUGGUGCAGGGGUAAAAACUCCGGUGGUAUGAGAUGGACCCGCGUCUGAUUAGGUAGUUGGUGGGGUAACGGCCUACCAAGCCGACGAUCAGUAGCCGACCUGAGAGGGUGACCGGCCACAUUGGGACUGAGACACGGCCCAAACUCCUACGGGAGGCAGCAGUGGGGAAUAUUGCACAAUGGGGGAAACCCUGAUGCAGCGACGCCGCGUGAGCGAUGAAGUAUUUCGGUAUGUAAAGCUCUAUCAGCAGGGAAGAAAAUGACGGUACCUGACUAAGAAGCACCGGCUAAAUACGUGCCAGCAGCCGCAGUAAAAC